rnacentral:lncRNA from 1 species
CAUUUUCAAGUUUACUAUCCACGGUGGUCACAUAGUUUAUUAAAUAGAGAGGGUCUGUAUACUAUAUCAAUGACCACCAUGGAUCGAUUAGUAAACUUAAAAUUGAAAGUAAAUACACUAUAUUUAUAUAGUAAUGAAUGUUCAUAAUAUACAGAUUUAUAUAAGCGCUAAAAUUAUUCAUGAGAACUUUUGAUACCUUUUCUGAAAUUCUCCAGUUAUUAAAUCUUUUACAAAAUUCAUUGAUUACAAAAAAAGAAGAUGUGGUAUGAUAGCCAUGUUGAGACAACUCUCCACAAGAGACCAAAAUGAUACAGAAAUUAACAACUAUAGUUCACCAUACGACCUUCAACAAUGAGCAAAGCCCAUACCGCAUAAUCAGCUAUAAAAGGCCCUGAACUGACAAGGUAACACAAUCCAAACCAGAAAACUAGCGGCCUUAUUGAUGUACAAAAAAAUGAAUGAAAUACAAAUAUGUAACACAUAAACAAAUGACAACCACUGAAUUACAGGACCC